rnacentral:lncRNA from 1 species
CUGGAGGAUUUUGAAGGUUCCGUCGGAACGGAACCGGAGAGGGAGGUCGGAGAUCUUCUUCGUGCGGCGCACUGGUUCGCCGCCGAGGAAGAGAUUGCGUGGCAGAUGGAGUUGUGUGAAGUGGAGAAUUGCGAGUACGACGGUGAGGUAGAGCAGAGAGUGUUUGCAGUUUUUUUCUGGUGUUGGAGAAUAAUCCACCAUUGUUGCUGCUAGCUUUCUGUUUUCAGAUCGUGUUCAUCACAGGGUCGUUAACAACGAACAACCGUAGUAACAGCUUCACAGUUCGUUCAUUUUGGAUUAUUCAAACAUUGGGCCUUGCUCUUUGGGCCUCUUGUUGUGGAUCGUGUUCUGACUUUUGAGCCCAAAUACUGUAACAUAGGUUUGGGUUGAUUCGUUCUCAUUAAUUUUGAGAUUUAUCGGUUUUUUCCUUCAAAUGUACUGGUCACUUGAUCGGUUCUCAGUUCAAUGCAUCGACGAGGGAGGAAGUCUUGUGUGUUGUCUAAUAUGCAACACUUGGAAAACACAUAUGUCACUAAAUAGUUUGAGAUAUAAGUUUACUGUCAUUAAAAUGUUUUGUAAAUUUCAAACAUGUUCCUUUUCUUAACAUGAUAUUCACUCACUCCUCCAUCACUUUUGUCACCUAUCUCCGACAACUCAUCAUCCACCUCUAGCCAUCUCACUAUUAUGGAUAUGUCACAUCUUCACAAACCGCAAUCGUCAUCCAGGAUAGAGAAUCAGGUUGAGAAAAUACAUCGAACACAUAGGGUGCCGCUUCCAUUUACCCUCCCCAUGUUUGGUGUUUGCUGAGAUAUAUAAUUAAGUGUGUUCCAAGAUAAGGUACUUUUCUGCAAAGAAGACGUAACAUCAACAUAUGGAUCCCCUUUUUCUUUCUGACAAGGCUUCGGUGGAAAAGACGUCGUAGAAGGCAAUGGUGGCAUGAGGUAUUUUCAAUGUCAUGCAACGCAUUUCAAGAAGUGCGAAGGAUGUUGCACAAUAACAAAAGUGAUAACUGGCAUGUGCCAUUCCUAGUGGGUGAAAAUCCCUGGUGCUUAUCGUUUUAUACUGGCUUCGUGACAUAUAAUGCUACUAAUUAGGUUUUUUUUAAUUCUUUUUUUGGGUAUUUGCAAGUUUAUGAUUUUAUUUUUGAACAGCAAAAUUUCUCCUUCAAUGAUUUGAGCAUUGGACCUUUCAUUCCCCUUAUAUGUCCCCCAGCUCUUAUCCCUUAAACUCUUUCGGGGACAUUUGUGAAUUUAUGGUAAUCUAAUAUUGUGGUGGAAAAUUCGUUUGUCAAUAUAUAUAUAUAGAAGAGAUUGCGUGGCAGAUGGAGUUGUGUGAAGUGGAGAAUUGCGAGUACGACGGUGAGGUAGAGCAGAGAGUGUUUGCAGUUUUUUUCUGGUGUUGGAGAAUAAUCCACCAUUGUUGCUGCUAGCUUUCUGUUUUCAGAUCGUGUUCAU